UACGUAGGGUGCGAGCGUUACUCGGAAUUACUGGGCGUAAAGCGUGCGCAGGCGGCUUCGCAAGUCAGGCGUGAAAUCCCCGGGCUUAACCUGGGAAUGGCGUCUGAAACUACGGAGCUGGAGUGUGGCAGAGGGAGGUAGAAUUCCACGUGUAGCGGUGAAAUGCGUAGAUAUGUGGAGGAAUACCGAUGGCGAAGGCAGCCUCCUGGGCCAACACUGACGCUCAUGCACGAAAGCGUGGGGAGCAAACAGG
rnacentral:rRNA from 1 species